CCUACGGGGGGCAGCAGUGGGGAAUAUUGCACAAUGGGGGAAACCCUGAUGCAGCGACGCCGCGUGAAGGAAGAAGUAUUUAGGUAUGUAAACUUCUAUCAGUAGGGAAGAAAAUGACGGUACCUGACUAAGAAGCCCCGGCUAACUCCGUUCCAGCAGCCGCGGUACUACGUAGGGGGCAAGCGUUAUCCGGAUUUACUGGGUGUAAGGGGUGCGUAGGCGGUUUAGCAAGUCAGAAGUGAAAGCCCGGGGCUAAACUCCGGGACUGCUUUUGAAACUGUUGAACUAGAGUGCAGGAGAGGUAAGUGGAAUUCGUAGUGUAGCGGUGAAAUGCGUAGAUAUUAGGAAGAACACCAGUGGCGAAGGCGGCUUACUGGACUGUAAAUGACGCUGAGGCUCGAAAGCGUGGGGAGCAAACAGGAUUAGAUACCCGUGUAGUC
rnacentral:rRNA from 1 species